rnacentral:rRNA from 1 species
AACGAACGCUGGCGGCAUGCCUAACACAUGCAAGUCGAACGAGACCUUCGGGUCUAGGGGCGCACGGGUUCGUAACGCGUGGGAACCUGCCCUUAGGUUCGGAAUAACUCCCCGAAAGGGGUGCUAAUACCGGAUAAUGUCUUCGGACCAAAGAUUUAUCGCCUUUGGUUGGGCCCGCGUUGGAUUAGCUAGUUGGUAGGGUAAAAGCCUACCAAGGCGACUAUCCAUAGCUUGUCUGAGAGGAUGAUCAGCCACACUGGGACUGAGACACGGCCCAGACUCCUACGGGAGGCAGCAGUGGGGAAUAUUGGAAAAUGGGGGAAAGCCUGAUCCAGCAAUGCCGCGUGAGUGAUGAAGGCCUUAGGGUUGUAAAGCUCUUUUACCCGGGAUGAUAAUGACAGUACCGGGAGAAUAAGCUACGGCUAACUCCGUG